CAAGAAGAGACCCUAACCGGUCCUCUCAACCCUGCCCAUCGUACCUUUUUUGUUGUUCCCUCGGCGGUGCUCGCGGGCCCGCCGGCGGGAAGACCAAACAAACCCUUUGCAAACAAGCAUAUCGAGUCUCUGAUCAAACAUGAAUUGUCA
rnacentral:misc_RNA from 1 species